UACCCGCUGNAAACUAAGCAUAUCAAUAAGCGGAGGAAAAGAAACCAACAGGGAUUGCCCUAGUAACGGCGAGUGAAGCGGCAACAGCUCAAAUUUGAAAUCUGGCUCUUUCAGAGUCCGAGUUGUAAUUUGCAGAGGGCGCUUUGGCUUUGGCAGCGGUCCAAGUUCCUUGGAACAGGACGUCACAGAGGGUGAGAAUCCCGUACGUGGUCGCUAGCUAUUGCCGUGUAAAGCCCCUUCGACGAGUCGAGUUGUUUGGGAAUGCAGCUCUAAAUGGGAGGUAAAUUUCUUCUAAAGCUAAAUAUUGGCCAGAGACCGAUAGCGCACAAGUAGAGUGAUCGAAAGAUGAAAAGCACUUUGGAAAGAGAGUCAAACAGCACGUGAAAUUGUUGAAAGGGAAGCGCUUGCAGCCAGACUUGCUUGCAGUUGCUCAUCCGGGCUUUUGCCCGGUGCACUCUUCUGUAGGCAGGCCAGCAUCAGUUUGGGCGGUGGGAUAAAGGUCUCUGUCACGUACCUCUCUUCGGGGAGGCCUUAUAGGGGAGACGACAUACCACCAGCCUAGACUGAGGUCCGCGCAUCUGCUAGGAUGCUGGCGUAAUGGCUGUAAGCGGCCCGUCUUGAAACACGGACCAAGGAGUCUAACAUCUAUGCGAGUGUUUGGGUGUCAAGCCCGAGCGCGUAAUGAAAGUGAACGGAGGUGGGAACCCGCAAGGGUGCACCAUCGACCGAUCCUGAAGUUUACGGAAGGAUUUGAGUAAGAGCAUGGCUGUUGGGACCCGAAAGAUGGUGAACUAUGCUUGAAUAGGGUGAAGCCAGAGGAAACUCUGGUGGAGGCUCGCAGCGGUUCUGACGUGCAAAUCGAUCGUCAAAUUUGGGCAUAGGGGCGAAAGACUAAUCGAACUAUCUAGUAGCUGGUUCCUGCCGAAGUUUCCCUCAGGAUAGCAGUAACGUAUUCAGUUUUAUGAGGUAAAGCGAAUGAUUAGAGGCAUGGGGGUUGAAACAACCUUCACCUAUUCUCAAACUUUAAAUAUGUAAGAAGCCCUUUGUUACUUAAUUGAACGCGGGCAUUUGAAUGAAACGUUAUUAGUGGGCCAUUUUUGGUAAGCAGAACUGGCGAUGCGGGAUGAACCGAACGAGGGGUUACGGUGCCGGAGUACACGCUCAUCAGACACCACAAAAGGUGUUGGUUCAUCUAGACAGCAGGACGGUGGCCAUGGAAGUCGGAAUCCGCUAAGGAGUGUGUAACAACUCACCUGCCGAAUGAACUAGCCCUGAAAAUGGAUGGCGCUCAAGCGUGUCACCUAUACCCCUCCGCCGGGGCAAAAUUUACGCCCCGGCGAGUAGGCAGGCGUGGAGGCUCGUGACGAAGCCUUGGGGGUGACCCCAGGUCGAACGGCCUCUAGUGCAGAUCUUGGGUGGUAGUAA
rnacentral:rRNA from 1 species